rnacentral:rRNA from 1 species
CCCCUAGAGGAGCCUGUUCUAUAAUCGAUAAUCCACGAUCUACCUCACCAUCUCUUGCCAAUACCGCCUAUAUACCGCCGUCACCAGCCUACCCUAUGAAGGAUAUAAAAGUAGGCAAAAUCGCACAACAGCUAACAAGUCAGGUCAAGGUGUAGCUUACUGAGAUGGAAGAAAUGGGCUACAUUUUCUAAACUAGAAAUCAUUUCACGGAAAGAACUAUGAAACAAGUUCUAUAAGCAGGAUUUAGCAGUAAAUAGGGAUCAAAAUGCCCAAUUUAAGCCGGUCCUAAGGUACGC